rnacentral:rRNA from 1 species
AGCUCCAAUAGCAUAUAUUAGAGUUGUUGCAGUUAAAAAGCUCGUAGUUGGAUUUCUGGUGGGAGGGAUCGGUCCAGCACUCUGCGUGGGAACUUGUAUCCUCUCCGGCCAUCCUUAGGUGGAUCUUGUCUGGCAUUAAGUUUUCAGUCAGGGGAUGCCCAUCGUUUACUGUGAAAAAUUAGAGUGUUCAAAGCAGGCUUAUGCCAUUGAAUAUAUUAGCAUGGAAUAAUAAGAUAGGGCCCUGGUACUAUUUUGUUGGUUUGCGUACCGAGGUAAUGAUUAAUAGGGACAGUUGGGGGGUAUUUGUAUUCAGUAUUCAGUGGUGAAAUACUUAGACCUACGGAAGACAAACUACUGCAAAAGCAUUUAUCAAGGAUGUUUUCA